rnacentral:rRNA from 1 species
UACGUAGGGGGCAAGCGUUGUCCGGAAUCAUUGGGCGUAAAGAGCGUGUAGGCGGUCCGAUAAGUCCGCUCUGAAAGCCCGGGGCUCAACCCCGGGAGGCGGGCGGAUACUGUCGGGCUAGAGUCCGGAAGAGGCAAGUGGAAUUCCUGGUGUAGCGGUGAAAUGCGUAGAUAUCGGAAGGAACAUCAGUGGCGAAAGCGGCUUCCUGGACCAGAACUGACGAUCAGGCUCGAAAGCGUGGGGAGCAAACAGG